GGAAUCAUCUUGUCCGUGUAAAUGCAAAAGAGAGUGUGCGUUUGUGCCAUACUUGCCUGCGGACAAACUGGAGGAGACAUAUGCAUUGUUGACUGAGGCAGGAUUUAAAAUUGCCACUAUUGCUAGAUUUCUCGUGUGUGCUCCUACGCAUCGCCAUGGGCAAGAAUACUUCGACUGGAUAUGUCAGUUUGCAAAAUCCGUCAACGACCCUAGCUUAGGAAUCCGUGAUCCUGAGUUGAUGAAGCUUUCCCCUGAAGAACUUGAGGCCCGAGCGGAUAUUGCACUGAGGGAAUACCCGCAGAUCAUCGAAGCACUGGAUCUUAUAUAUGCUGCAAAGACACGUGACCUUGAUGAUGAUCAACCUCCAAUGAAGCCAUCUAAUUAACUAUAUAGUCUUUUCAUUUUUUUCAAUUUGAAUUGUUUUAACUUUAACAUAUAGAACUUGAUAUAAUAAUUAAGAGUUUUGAGGGACUAGCUAGAUAAGCAUAAAAUCUCCCUUGUUGUAGAUUCUAUAGAACUCGUGCCAUUUAUGUUUCUAUUUAAAACUUAAAUGCUAGAAGCUAGAAUGGUUACAUAUGUGAACAAAUGAACCUUUUAUCUUUAACAUAAAUGGAAACCAUGGUUACAGCUUCUGGUGUCUCAGUUACAUUAUAGUUGCUCAUCAUCACGUACUUAACAAAUUAUUGCGGUUCAUUAUAAAAAAUUACUGGAAACUCUACUAAUACUAAUGGCAUAAAAACAAAAGAAAAAUUUGUGAUCAUUACCAUACCAUCACACAACUAGGUGUAAGUUCAAGUAUUGUCCUCUU
rnacentral:lncRNA from 1 species